rnacentral:misc_RNA from 1 species
AAGUCGUAACAAGGUCUCCGUUGGUGAACCAGCGGAGGGAUCAUUACCGAGUUUUCAACUCCCAAACCCCUGUGAACCUUACCUAUCGUUGCCUCGGCGGGAUCGCCCCGGUGCCUCUGCCGCCCGGACUCAGGCGCCCGCCGGAGGACCCAAUACUCUUGUUUUUCAAUUGUGAAUCUUCUGAGUGGCACAAGCAAAAUGAAUCAAAACUUUCAACAACGGAUCUCUUGGUUCUG